rnacentral:lncRNA from 1 species
AAGAACACUAAUAUCUUUUUGUCACUUUUAAAAAUUAUUUUCAUUAUUUGUGUAUUUUAAGUUAUGGCACUUUGGAAAAUAUAAACAUUUGGACAUAUCAUUGUAUUGAGGGACAGUUUAAACACAGUAACUUCAUCAUUCCAAAAAGGAGCCAUCAGUUUCUACAGUGGCCUGGAUGGUAGAGGGAGAUAAGGACAGACCAGAGAGGGACAAGGCACUGAUGCUCACUGUUGUCCAGGCUAUAUAAUCCUCAGGUCACAGUUUUGUUCAGAUCUUUUCCUUCAAGCCUUUAAAAACAAUCUCAACAGUACUAGCUAAAUAUUAGCUUAUUGCUUCCUUUAAAGCACACGGAAGACUAGAUGACGUCCUUUGGGGAGUGCGCAUUCUGAGAAAACUUACAUGAAGCAUCUAUAACCGCGCCCAGCUUAAGAUAAGGCACACCUCGUUUCACCUCUUUGUGCUUCUGCACAGAAAAUCAGACCUUCUGUUGCAAGAUGGCCCUAAGGAUUUGACAUUGAUCACCAUCAUAGAAUUGGAACUUACAAAUAUUUUUCUCUUGGUAAGUAACAAAAAUUAAAAACUACUUUGAUUUUUUUUACACAUUUUAAGUAUAUCUUUGGAAAU